CAACAACGGAACCCAGGGGACAGGACUGCAUCAACUACAACCAGACGGCGUAGACGGCAGCACACGGCCCUCGGCAAAUCAGAGGUGCUCAGUGACCACAGCCACCAUGACAGCAGGGCGGGGCGGGGGGCAAGGAAGCAGCGCUGGGAGACUUGGAGACACCCCAAAAAACGCCUUCCUCAGAAACACUGCUGUGCAAGAACCUGCAAAUCCCUAAGGCGUCUGUGUCCGAUGGCCCCGGCCCCAUGCUCUGAGGUCGCGCAGGUGUCCAAGGCCAGGAGGGGCACCGAGGAGACGAAGAAGAAACAGCACAGCAGCUGGGGAGGUAGGAACAGCAGAGUCUGAGUCACCAAAGCCCGGGGCUGCCACUCUCCAGGGCGCCCCACUCCCAGCUCCAGCGGCUGAGUCCACCAAGCCAGGACAGGCCCAAGGACCAGAGGGCGAGGUGAUUCACAGUGGAGCUCGGAAAGACCCAUCCAUGCCCAGCGCCUUGUCAAAAACCACAGGGGUCUUGGUGACAAGCAAUUGAGGGAGGCCAACAUGGCAGAGCCAGGGCUGCAAAAUCGGCUGGAAUAAGCAUCAGACCUGCUAGAAGGGUUUUCUGUGCCUGUUUUCGGUGAGCACAGAACAACUGAAGGAAGCGCGGGACAGACACAAGGGCGGGCCUCGGUGCCACGGCUGGCCUUGGGCAGAGGGAAAUGCUUUGUGUACUUUCUCUGGGAAGCAGCAGCCCCAGCGCGGCCUCGGCGUCCUCUGCCGCCAACUGCUCCGUGACCGCUGGGCGUGUGUGCGGGGACAUGGGAGCAACUUCACAGUGGUGGGAAGUUUCUCUCCUAAAACGAAAGCUUCUCUAUACUACAGAUUGGCCC
rnacentral:lncRNA from 1 species